UCCCUGGAGGACUAGUGGUUAGGCCACAGCACUCUCACUGCUGUGGCCUGGGUUUGAUUCCCAGCCAGGGAA
rnacentral:tRNA from 1 species